rnacentral:sRNA from 1 species
UACUACACAAUAUCGUGUGGGGGAGACCCUGCGUUCAGGUUCGAGCCGAGCGAAGCGAGACAACAACGCGCCAGCGUUGACCCGAAGGGCGAGGCCAGCGGCCGAGUUAUCCCGCACGACCCACCA